CCCUUAGAUGCUCUGGGCCGCACGCGCGCUACACUGGUCGAUGCAACGAGUUUCUUUCCUUGGCCGACAGGCCUGGGCAAUCUUUGAACAUCGAUCGUGAUCGGGAUAGAUUCUUGUAAUUUUUGAUCUUAAACGAGGAAUUCCUAGUAAACGCAAGUCAUCAGCUUGCAUUGAUUACGUCCCUGCCCUUUGUACACACCGCCCGUCGCACCUACCGAUUGAAUGGUCCGGUGAAAUCUCCGGACUGGCGUGAGUCGGAGCAAUCUGACAAACGCCGGAAAGUUGAUUAAACCUUACCAUUUAGAGGAAGGUGANGUCGUAACA
rnacentral:rRNA from 1 species